rnacentral:lncRNA from 1 species
GGUGCCUAUGUUACCGUGCAGAUGACGCAACCAAGCUCAAGGAGGAGCUCGAUGAAGAUCUUGCCCUUUGUGUUGUUUCAUUCUAGUUGAUCAGUAGUGGAGCCCAGUUGGGGUUGAUCGGGGACCUUUGUCGCAUUUGGGGUUCUUCUUUUAUUUUGGUUCCGUAGUCGGACCUUGAUUGUAUCUGGAUGAUGUAAUGCUUUAUUCAUGUAAUUGUGUGAAGUGGCGAUUGUAAGCCAACUAUGUAUCUCUUUCCCUUAUGUAUUACAUGGGUUGUGUGAAGAUUACCUCACUUGCGACAUUGCUUUCAAUGCGGUUAUGCCUCUAAGUCGUGCUUCGACACGUGGGAGAUAUAGCCGCAUCGAGGGCGUUACAAGUUGGUAAUCAGAGCCUUCCCCGACCUUAGGAGCCCCAUUGCUUGAUCGUUUUUAGCGGCCGAGUUGUGUCUAGAAAAAUAUUUUGAGUCAUUUAGGAAUUAUAUAUCGGAGAGUUAGGAAUUCUUUUUACUCCCCAGUCUCUUCAUCGCUCUGGUGAGGCAUCAUGACGUAUAGUUUUGACUCUUCUCUUCUCAAAUUUCACUAAAUUUUUUUAGGAUCACGCGGGUAUCUUGGAAUCGUUCCGAUGGUUUUAUGAUGAGAACAUUGUCUUGGUGCCUCCUGUCAGGGGUUUAGUGGAAGUGUCCCGGGGAGUUGAGCUCUGAGGUGUUGUCGUCAUAAUUUUAUCGUUGCAGUUCUGGAAUACCUGAGUUUAGUACGCCGACAUCGAAAAUCUCUUUUAUGCAGUUGUUGGUGAGAUAACCCCGAUAACCCAGUACUGAGGUGAGUACGGGAGUAUUGCCAUGACUUGUAUAACAGAUGCUUUUUGAAGGUUGAGGUAGACGAUUUCCGAAGGUUUCUUGGUUAUGUGUUGAAGGAUGGAUACAGCUGGAUGUAGGAUUUGUUAGUUUUGGGUGAGAUAUUAUGCUUCCCCUGUAUCCCCAACACCUGAUUGCAUAACCGGAAAAUUUCGGGAGUUUCAUAGGUGGGAAUUCAAGUAGCUCUUAGGAUAUCUUUCCGACGGAUGUAUGAUAUGAAAUUGGGGUUCGACGUCUAGUGGUCCGCCUAUUCACGGUUGGUUUUACAGUGGUCUCGUUGUGUCUUAAAGAGUCCUUGGCUAUGCCGACUCGGGGACGCUUCGUAUGUCAUGUGCACUGCCUUGUACAUGAUGGUGCUGUACGAUCGAGCCCGUGUAGGCCCCACCACGAAAACUUCGGACGAAAUCUCUAUCAUAUGUUUGUUCUGGCUUAUUCUGCAAGCCAAAUCCUUUGUUUUGUUUUAUUUGUGGUAUUCGAGUUGCUUCGAAGUCAAAUGUUGAUUCCAUACCUUUUCCAAAUGGUGUUCUCAUAUUCCUAUGUGAAUACUAAUCCUUCUUGAUCAUCGAGUCUGUCUUGUCAAUCCUUUUUUUAACCGGUGUGUCUCUCCUCAAGUGGAUCCGUUCACGUCAACAUUUGCAAGAUCAUUUAUCACUUCUUCUCAACGGUGUUGUUUCAUCCGUCUCCAAGUUGCCUUUUUUUUCCCACCCUCCCUCCCUUUUGUUUUUCUUCAAGGACUAAGAUUUCUUCUUCAAGUAUCCAUUUUAUUGAUGGGAAGUUUCUCCAUUCUUUUCCGUCAAUGUUCUUAUCCGGUGAUUCUCAUGAAGAUUCUAAUGGAGCUUCUAGUUCGUCAUUCCUCGUUCUUUCUUCUCCGGUGGAUUUAAUUCAAGCUUUGGUAUUAAGCAUACUCUUUUUUUUCCAAUGCUUUUCUUAUGCCGGUGCACCUCUUAAUCAUUCUACUUCUCGCUAUUUGUUAUUCCGGAGUGCUCAAGAUAUCUCGAAGAUUCGUGUUUCCACUCUGCAUUCGUUCAAGCUCUUUCGAGAUUGGUAUCUCAUUCAAGUCAUUUAAUUCUACCGGUGCAAUAUCUGUUUCAAUCAAUCGUUCAACGGUGUAUCCUUUUAGUGGGCCCUAACCCACAGGUCUUUUCCCAGGAUCUUACCUGACUCUUCUAUUUUCCCAGAGCUAUCCUAAAUUCUUCUCCAAGUUUGACGUAAGAAUGAGUUAUCAUUAGUCAAAUGCUUUUCUCCAAGAUCUUUCAAAUUCUUUUCAUAGUUGGCUCAACCUCUUCGCUUUUGAUUCUUCCGGUGUGCCUCAAUAAUUCUUGGUGGUGUUUCUUGUUGUCAUUCUCAUCAUUUGAAGACCGAAGAAGAGUUUCUCUUUAAUCUUGCUCUAUUCUCUUCAAGAUUCAUGGUGCUAGCUUGUUGCCAUCCUCUCAUAAUUGUUUUCGAUUGUGAGAAUCUUUUUCUCCCAUCAGGAGAUAUUCAAGAGUCUUCUCAGUUUGUCAUCCGGAGUCCAUCAAUUCAGGUUUAUUUAUUCUCAGCCGUCAGUUAUCAUUCUCCUAUCUUGCCGGUGCAUCUAUCAAAUAUCCUCUAAUCAGUUCUUGAUCUCUUUGUUCUCAUGUAUCUAGUUUGUCUCAAGCACCUUCGUUCAUUUGCUAAUUCUUACCGGUGAUGCACCCCUACUUCGAUCAUUUUCAAUUCUUACGGUGGUUCUUUCAAGAUCCCUCUUCCUUGUUCAUCAUAUCAAUUCAUUUGUUGUUCCAAUCCUACCGGUGGUUCGUUGAAGACCUUCUCAAGUUGUGAUAUAUCUCUUUUAAUCCUUUCUACGAGAAUAAGUAGUAUGCCAAAUCCGUUGAUUGUCGUCAAUUUAAUUGGUGAAGGAUAAGCAUAACAUAAUUCUUAUUCUUGUUCACCCAAGUGAUUAAUUCUUUCUUCCGGAGGCAUUGUGAUGUUGCUCUUUUCACUCAUCAUCUCGAAUUGGGAGGAUCAUGUUCUUUUCGUGCUUAUCCAUUUAACCGGAGUGGUGCAUCCUCUUUUCAAGUUCUUUUCAUCUUAUCAAGUCAUGCGUCUCUUUUAAACCGGAGUGCUGUCCGAUUUUGAUCUUCCUUGUUCCUUGUUUAUCUCGUUUCAACCAGAGUGGUUUCGAAUUCUAUCUUGUCCAUUAAACUCUUGAUUCAUGUCUUUGCAACCUUCAAGUUCUCGUAAUGUUCCUUGUUCCUCUUUCUAACGGAUUGUUUGCAAUCUCGUUCAUCUCCUUUGUAUUCUUUCUUUCAAUUUGUUCAACCUCUCAAGGUUCUUUGGUUUCACUCAUUGGUCAAAGAAGCAACUUAGUUUUACCUCUUCUCUUCCUCUUCCAUUUCUCUCCGGUGCCAUUCUAGAUCUCGGGACGAGAUCCUCUCAUAGUGGUGGAGUGUUGUAACGCCCCGAGACCGACGCUCCAGAAGUCUUCCAGCUAUUCCGAGUUUCGUCGUGUGAUUUGUUUUAUUUGUUGCAUUCAUCCUUGCAUCAUGUGCAUUGCAUCAUGUCAUCAUGCCAUCAUAUCAUUAAUUUUUAAAACCUCAACUAAACAAAUUGUAUGGAUUUUUCGAUCCAUUUAAAUCGAGGGACUCACAUGGUGACUUCUCUUUAUAACAUAUCCUCCAAUAUUAGGGAGCUAUAUUAAAUAUUCCACUAUUUUGGAAUCACCAAAACACACUUACAAAAUAAUUUCGUUCCUUUUCUGCUUCAAGUUUGGUCUCCAACCUUGCCCAUAUAUUCUUUCUUGUUUUUCCGGAGCUCCACCAAAAAUCCGAACAUUUUUGGACCUUCCUUUUAUCAAGUCCUAGUUCAAACCCAUUUGAAUUAAAUUCAAAUGUGUUUGAAUUUAAAUCUUUCAAUCAUGCCCCUUUCUAUUUUUCUUGGAACGAGCAUAUUUUUUGUGAGUCCGGGAAAAUUGUCUCCAUGCCCAGAUUCCACCCCUACCUUCUCUUUCUCUUCUUUCUCUUUUCUGUUUUUUUUUGUAAAUGGAAAAGAAUAGGAGGGAGAGAAGAGAAGCCCAGCCGGCCUCUUGGGCCUGUCUAACCAGGCCGGCCCACUAAAUCCCAGUAGCCCAGCCGCCCCACCUUUCCUAACCCUAGCCCGACCUCUCCCUCCAUCCUCCUGCGCCGCCACUCGCUCGCACUCGCUCGCAUCGAGCUCCCUGCGCCCGAUCCACCUCGCCCUUCUUUCUCCCUCGCGCAACCAGCGCCACGCCCUCCUCCCGAUCCCCUCUUCCUCUCCCUCUCGUCUUCUCCCGAGCUGCCGCCCUGUUGCAUCGCCGCCCCGUCACCCGCGCAGCCGCCACCCCCUCUCUUCCCGAGGCCCGAGCAGGAGCGCUCGGCCUCGUCUUCUCGCGCGGCCAGCCGCCAUGGCCGUCGGCCUCCUCGAGCACCGGCCGCGACGCGCGCCCAACCUUCCUCCCGCCCCGUCUCUCCUGCUCUGCUCCUGCCCCGCCGGUCGCCUCUGCCUCGACCCCGCGCCCGGAUCUCGCCUCCACCACCCUGCGCGCGACCCUGCCGCCUUGCUGCCAGCGCCCGGCGUCCUCUGCUUUAUACAUGAUGAGGCGCCCCGUCGCCCGGUCGCUGGACCUCGCCUGAACCCGUCAAGCCCCGCUUCUCCUACCUCGCGUCGCUCCGCCCCGUGUUGACUUCGCCGGCAUCGCCCCCUGCCAAGCCGUCCCCGAGUUCCUCCUCCUUGCUGCUUCGCCUGUUGCCUCCCAUGGAGCUCCGCCGCGGGGGCUGCUCCUCGCCUGCGUCACUGCCCUCCCUCGCGGUGCUGCUCCUCUGCUUCAUCCUCUGCCGCCCGCAACGCGCGUGACGGAGCUGCCCCUGCCUUGUUCGACCACCGGAACCGCACCGAGUCUUUUGCCUUGCUUUGUUUUGGGUUGAAGGCCGAGACGAGACCGCCCCGAACCACGUCGUCUCGCUGGAUCGUCAAGACCAUCUCGGUUUCUGCAAGUUCCUCUACGCCCGAAGAUGUUGGAUGCGCCAAGUUCCACUACGAUAGGCACCACUACUGUUGCUGAGAGUUUCGUCAAGUUCAACUACAUCGACUACGAAACGUGAACGACUACCGUAGCCAAGACCGGACCGACAAGUACCCCGGCAACGUGUGUACCACUUCCGUCGCCGCGAACGACUACUUCCACGACGUCCCGUGAACGCCUACUUCCUCUACACCGCUCCGAACUCGUUCCGCCCCGAUUGCACGCUUCGAAGGUAUACCACCGAGAACGACCGCCGUGGACCGAAUGCAUGUGUUGAAUGAGAUGCAUCGUUUGCUCCGUGAUCGAAUCGUCCUUGCGAUGCCCCUCUUUUGCCGUGCCACCGUCCCGUGGGAACCCGGUAGUCGGGAUCACCCCACCAUCUUGCAUGACUCGCUCACGUCACGCCUUCCUUUUGCACCGGUAUCUCUGGAAGCUACCGGAACAGAUAUGUUGCCGUGGCAUCAUUUUCCGUUUCAUCGCCGUGGCACCCUUUUUGUUCCGCCAUGGUGACCAAAUGCCUCGUAACAUGCUUAUGUCAACAUUUUCAUAAAAUUGCAUAAAACUGGUAUAUGUCAUCCGCAUCAUGAUAACAACAUUUAAAAUGUUUAAACUUGUUGUUGCACUAAAUUGCUAAAUGCAUAUGGGGAUUUACCGGAUUUGUUGUUUUUAUAUCCGGCCCCAUUUAAAUUGUUUAGAUGGUAUAGUUUAUAUUUUGCUUCACCCUCUUGCCAUGCUUAACAACAUUUAAUAUUGUUGGGUACAUAACGAGAGAUAACUAAAUAAUUAAUGUGGUGUUUCGUCAACAUGCACCUCGUUGCAUGUUGAGCUCCACUUAAUUUGUAGGAUUGUUUGUGCACUUUUCCAUGCCAUGCUUCAUUAAACCGGACAUGCAUCAUACUUGAUUGUGCAUUAUGCCAUGUUUAUGUGGUGGUUGUUUACUAUGUUGUGUGCUUCUUUUCCGGUGAUUGCUUCUUCGGGUUGGUUCCGAUAACGUCGCGUUUGUGAGGAUUCGUUCAACUUCGACCGUUUGUCUUCUUCAUGGACUCGUUCUUCUUCCUUGCGGGAUUUCAGGCAAGAUGAUCAUACCCUCGAAAUCACCACUAUCUUUGCUAUGCUAGUUUGCUCGCUCUUGCUAUGCCUAUGCUGCGAUACCUACCACUUGCUUGUCAUGCCUCCCAUAUUGUUGAACCAAGCCUCUAACCCACCAUGUCCUAGCAAACCGUUGAUUGGCUAUGUUACCGCUUUGCUCAGCCCCUCUUAUAGCGUUGUUAGUUGCAGGUGAAGAUUGAAGUUUGUUCCUUGUUGGAACAUGGAGAUGUUGUUCCUGGUUGGAACAUGUUUACUUGUUGGGAUAUCACAAUAUAUCUUAUUUAAUUAAUGCAUCUAUAUACUUGGUAAAGGGUGGAAGGCUCGGCCUUAUGCCUGGUGUUUUGUUCCACUCUUGCCGCCCUAGUUUCCGUCAUAUCGGUGUUAUGUUCCCGGAUUUUGCGUUCCUUACACGGUUGGGCUAUAAUGGGAACCCCUUGACAGUUCGCCUUAAGUAAAGCUCUUCCAGCAAUGCCCAACAUUGGUUUUACCAUUUGCACUAACAACCUACCACCUUCCCUUGGGUUCUGCAGACUCAAGGGUCAUCUUUAUUCUAACCCCCCCCCCCGGGCCAGUGCUCCUCUGAGUGUUGGUCCGAACUAGAGCCCUGUGCAGCGCCCCCUCGGGGAAACUCGAGGUUUGGUUUUAGUUGUACGGAUUGCUCAUCUGAGUGUGCCCUGAGAAAGAGAUAUGUGCAGCUCCUAUCGGGAUUUGUCGGCACAUUCGGGCGGUGUUGCUGGUUUAGUUUUACCCUGUCGAAAUGUCUUGUUGUACCGGGAUACCGAGUCUGAUCGGAACGUCUCGGGUGGAGGUCUAUUCCUUCGUUGACCGUGAGAGCUUGUCAUGGGCUAAGUUGGGACACCCCUGCAGGGUAUUAUCUUUCGAAAGCCGUGCCCGCGGUUAUGGGCAGAUGGGAAUUUGUUAAUGUCCGGUUGUAGAAAACCCGAAGUUGACCUUAAUUAAAAUACAUCAACCGCGUGUGUAACCGUGAUGGUCUCUUUCCGGCGGAGUCCGGGAAGUGAACACGGUAUUGGAGUUAUGCUUGACGUAGGUUGCUAUAGGAUCACUUCUUGAUCAUACUUUUAUCGACCGUGCUUUGCCUUCUCUUCUCGCUCUCAUUUGCGUAUGUUAGCCACCAUAUAUGCUAGUCGCUUGCUGCAGCUCCACCUCAUUACUCCAUCCUUCCUAUAAGCUUAAAUAGUCUUGAUCUCGCGGGUGCGAGAUUGCUGAGUCCCCGUGGCUCACAGAUACUUCCAAAACCAGUUUGCAGGUGCCUAUGUUAACGUGCAGAUGACGCUACCAAGCUCAAGGAGGAGCUCGAUGAAGAUCUUGCCCUUUGUGUUGUUUCGUUCUAGUUGAUCAGUAGUGGAGCCCAGUUGGGGUUGAUCGGGGACCUUUGUCGCAUUUGGGGUUCUUCUUUUAUUUUGGUUCCGUAGUCGGACCUUGAUUGUAUCUGGAUGAUGUAAUGCUUUAUUCAUGUAAUUGUGUGAAGUGGCGAU